ACAUAGCUGAUGAUGUAAACAGAAAAGACGCCUCAUCCGGAUAAGUCACAUACCAUAAAGACAGACAAUCUGUGUUUAUCUCGGCAACAGUAAUUCAUUUUUGUUUUCCUUGAUAUGUUUUAAUUCAUAGAAACAAGGAGCAAUGGACUUCUACAUCAAUUUGAAGGUGAAUUUCAGGGGGAAUGCGAAGAAUUUUCUUCUGUCAGGUUCGGAGACGAAGAGUUGGGAGUCAAUGGAGGCCAUGGUGAAACGGUCCUUUGGCCUGUGUAAUCUACAAGUUACUUAUUUUGAUGAGGAGAAUGAGGAGGUAUCCAUAAACUGCCAAAUGGAGUAUGAGGAGGCAUUAAAGAGUGCAUCCAGGCAAGGGAACCGGCUGCACAUGAAUGUGUAUGAGACCAGGGGUCAGCCCACACGUGUGCCGGCCAAGGCCAGUGGAGGGGAGCCCAAGAGAGGGUUCCGUCCCCCACAGCACUGCCCAACCCUGGCUCAGGUGGUGAGCCGGAAGGUCCAGGCUGCUGUCCCCGAACAGAGCAUGGUGAUCAUGAAAGAACUAAAGGGAACCAAAGAGGAAGAUAAGACGCCUCCAGCAUGGUUUACAUCUUACAUGGAGAAGUUCAAAGACCAAGUAGUGAGGGAGGCAGUGGAGAAGAUCUGUCGGGAGUUCUCGGGCCAGUGCUGCAUCCACAAGCCCAUUGGGGCUGAGGCCCAGAUCCCUGAGGUGACCUCCUCCACCCUGCCUGGUGGUCCUAGUUCCACCCCUGCCUGCAGCAGCUGCCGGGGCCAGACCGCUGGGGGAGGAUAUCAGUGCAGUGUGUGUACGUCCUGCACACUGUGUGAGCCCUGCAGCUUCUCCCAUGACCCCAGCCACAACCUGGUGAGAGCCAGAACACCCCUCUCCAUCCCUGAGCACGGCUCACCAGCCCCAGACCACAGCAGGUUCUACCGGCGAGGGGACCGGAGCUUCCGUAAGGCAGAGAAGCAGCGUCUGAAGGCUGAGAAGCGUCAGCUGAAGGCGGAGGUAAAGGAGAUCAGGAAGCAGCUGAAGAUGGAAAGGAGGGGCCUGCAGUGGAGUGCUGCUGGCGACGGGAGCUCCUCACCCGUCCUGCUCCAACCCAGGGCCACCCAGGCCAACAGCCCAGAGCGUCCCAAGCGGCCCUGCCCUCUGGUGGUGCCAGCCAUGACGGCCCUGUUCCUGGAUGAGAACCUGCCUGAUGGGACUCGUCUUCGUCCGGGCACCAAGUUCAUCAAGUACUGGAAGAUGAGAAACACUGGCAGCGUGAGCUGGAGCUCUGAGACCAAGCUGAAGUUCAUGUGGGGGAAUCUGGCGGUGGCGUCGGGCGACCGCUGGCGUGAGGUGGCUGUGCCUUUCUUGCAGCCAGGUCAGGUGGGCGUGGUAAGCGUGGCCCUAUGCGCCCCAGCCCUGGAAGGCUCAUACACCUCCCACUGGCGUCUGGCACACGGUGGGGAGCAGUUUGGCCCUCGCGUCUGGUGCAGCAUUGUGGUGGACCCCCUGGCCCCUGCAGCCGUGAUGGCAGAUGGCGUGCUGGUGUCGCCCUGCGUCACCCCUCAGGGGAAGAACCCCCUCUCCACAGAUAAGGGUGGUAAGUCUUGUACUGCAGCCUCUAGGGACCAAGCACUCAUGUCAGUGGACCAAGACGAACAAGAAUACUACAUUCCCUCUGUGGACCUGCUCACAGCCCAGGAUUUACUCUCCUUUGAGCUGCUGGACAUCAACAUUGUUCAGGAAAUAGAGAGCGUGCCCAAUAACACCCCGGCAGAUAUGACCCCGUGCAUAUCCCCACUGCCCCAUGACGGUCCCCUGCAGGAGAAGCCCACCCUGGGGUUGAUCCAGGAGGAAGCAGAGGCCCAUCAGGCCCAGGGAGUCAAAAGCAUCCAGCCGUCUCAGGGCCUGGGGCCAGGGGCGGAGGGGGGCCGGGUUCCAGCCCAGGAGGAGGGAGAGGAGGAUAUGAGUGGGACUCAGUUUGUGUGUGAGACAGUGAUGCGCUCGCUCACACUGGAGGAGGCCCCAGACCACACACCCCUGUGUGGGAACUGCCCCGGCAAAGUGGUCCGCCCAGCAGCCCAAGGUGGCUCCGCCUCCUCUUCUCUUAAAGAGAAAGGUGCUGAGAAGCGUUUGGAGGCGAGGUUGGAGAAAACCCGGGACAUAUCCCCUGUGGCCCCUCUCACAGGCCUAGCACCACCCCAGCUGGCUAUACCAGAGCUGAUGAUGCCAGAUGAGGUACUGGAGUCAGACAUUGAGAGCAUCUGCGUGGACGCCAGCGGGGACGAAGACAAGGGCGAAGAUAAAGGAGAGUUGACAGAGGGGAACACAGUCGCCCGCAGCCGUUCCUCCUCUGCCUCAUCCGAGGAUUACAUCAUCAUCCUCCCUGACUGCUUCGACACCAGCCGCCCGCUGGGAGAGUCCAUGUACAGCUCCGCCCUCUCCCAGCCUGGCGACGUCCCCGACACGCCCACAGACCCUGACCGCCAGGGUCGUACCACUCCCGAGGGGGAGCACGAUGAAGCAGAAGAGACGGUUUCAGGCUCCAGCAGCGCUAACGAUAUGCUGUGCACCUCCCAGACAUUGGACGCCGUUCCCCUAACCCCUGUGGUGGUGGCACCCCCUCGGCUCAACUCAGCUCUUACACUCAGCCUAGACAGCAAUGAUCAGACCGAGGCAGCAGCAGAGUCCCUGGACAGGACUGAGGUCUACCAGCAGGGAGAGUCAGAGGAUGGUUCCAAGCAGCCAGACAGCCAACCAGACAGUCCAUCUGCUUCUGGUGACUCAGAAGACAACUCCGAAGACCCUAGGUGGGACCCUGAUGUGCAACUCAGCACCCAGGCAUCACUGGAGGCCUGGUGAAAGGAGCCCUGUCUGUCGCAGCAUCAGCCUACAAGGCUCUGUUCACUGGGCAGCCUGGCCCAGUGCAGCCCCCAGUGGAUGGAGCCACCCAGGACACCAUGAUGGGGGUGCUGGUGGAGAUGGGCUUUGGUGACCGGCCGCUCAACCAGCGGCUGCUGAAGAAACACAACUACAACCUGCUGGACGUGGUCAACGAACUGGUCCAGAUGACCGACAAUGACUGGUACUCCACCCGCUACUGAGGAGAGAGGGAGGAGGAGGAGCUGGGGUGGCGUCAUGGGUUUAUCCUCUGAUGCCUUGACCUCUCGUCUCUUCUUCCUCUUUUUAGAUUUGGACCAAGUUGACAGGAGGUAUCCUGAUUUAUGACCUAGAGACAUUCCCACGGACUUUGGGAUAUUUAGACUAUCAAAUAGCUACAGUAUGUAUGUAGAUUCAUUUAACAUGGCUGUUUCUGGCUGUUGGCUUUUGCAUAGGAAAGGGGGAGACUGAAGGGGGGUGGAUGAGGUGGGCUACUCUUUCCAGGAGAACACCUUCAUUGCUGUGGUAUCAAAUGGCAAACAUAUCACAAGUUGCUAUCACCAAGCCAUUCCUGUUAAACAGUAUACUCACCCUUGAAGUCAUAGAUUGGAAUACAGGCUGAAUAGGCAGCCAUAGACCAGGUAUAUUCAACAAGAGUUACAGAAAAGGUGUAAGUUUAGCUGAAGGUGUGUUGGGUGUAAUAUUUAUCACAGAGAGCCAGAACCAUAUGAGGCAAUAGUCAACAUUGUAUGACGUUAAUCAACUUCAUAGAGUGUUUGAAUAGUGGACAUGUCAGGUCCUCGUUCCAAGUGUGAAUGACUGUCAGUGUUGGAGAACACUAUGCUUCAUUCAGAUCACAGCAAUUAAACACACACACACACACACACAAACACUCACCCCCACAUGCUUAAACCUUUCUCAGCUUAACUGUUCAAAGUAUCAGCGUACUGUAGACAUAAUGCGUGUCUUAUUGAUUGAAGAUAAUCAUUCCCCUACUUUCUGUGAUGUUGUGCCAUGGCUGGCAACAUGCUAUGGAUAUUUGUGCGUAAUGGUGUACACAUGAAGUAUUUUUGAAAUGAGGACCAUUACAUUGAUGCACUCCAUUUAAUUCCAUUUUGAAAGGGUAUAUGAAUCACCAUUCUUAACUAGGAGUAUAUUUGGGUUGAAAAAGAAAAAUCAUGUAAAUAUAAUAUACAAAUUAUUUUUUUUGUUGCACAUGGAAGACAUAAAUAUUGAUGCAAACCCAAAAGACUAGCUGCUCAAGAAGUGAAGGAUGUUAUACAUUUUAAGAUCCUGUUGAAGGGAUUUUAUCAAGAAAUGAAAUAACAUACUUUACAACAUGUCUUCAAUCGGCUCUAUAUUGUCCACAGAGGGAGGGGGGUUCUUUUCAGAGCCAUACCUGGUGAUCAUGAUGUAUCAAAAGCAUUUUCUCGUUCCAGUUGGUAUCAUUCUUAAAAAAAAAAUGUACGUCAAGUUCUUUCAAAACUUAAGCUGAAAUCAAGCAGUAUGUAACAACAAGUUUGAAAUGCUUUUAUUCUUUUCCAAUAUGGAAAUGCUAACGUGUUUCAGGUGAUCCUAAGAGGUAAUCUUUGUUGUUAAAAGAUUUUUUGUUUUAGAGUUGAUUGCUUGAGGGCUGUUUUGGAAAUGUAAAGGAAGAUUUGCCUAUGUUCUUCUGGUUGAAGCUUGCUCACGUCAUUGUGCUUGAAUUUCCACUGUUCUAAUAUGUUUAUAUUUGAAGAAAAUAUACUGGAAAGGUUUGCUUAAGUCUUGUACACUAAGGUGAAAUUGACAGGGUUGUGAGCAUUGUGAAAAAGAAUUAACACUUACAGUGGUCAGUAAAAAAUGUAGCAAAUGGAUAUUGGUAAAAAUCAUUAAUACAAAAGCCCAUUGAAUCGACCCUAUUUUGGUAUAAUGUAGUCUUAAUGGUUCUUGGGAUUAGGGUCUUACCAAAAGAUAAGUGUCUGCUAAAUGACUAGAAUGUACAGUCCUACCAGGUGAUGGUAUCUGAUUUAUUGCCACUUAUGAGUCAACUUUUAGGGUGUCAAGGAGAAACUGAAUUCAAGGAAUAUAAGGAUUGUGGUCUUUUGAAUUAAAAUUAAAGCUUUUCCCACAGUGGAAAACUAUACGUCAGCAAUUAUGGCAGGUUAAUGGAGGUCAGAAACAGUGCGAUUCAUACAUUUCUACAUACAUGUACUUGAAACAUUCAUACCUUCCAUAUAUGGGCAGGAUCAUUUCAUAGAGGGUGAAGAACGAGAACUCCAAAAAGUGUUUUGGGAGGGAUAAUGUGCAGAUUGUCUAAACUCUUUCUGUGUUGCACUUAAGACUUACCUGGAACCCUGACGUUGAAUUGCAUUGAAUUCUAGGUCGGCAGAAUUUAGCAUUUGAAUCAGGAAAAGUGUAUACUCACGACCUCUACAAGCCAGAAUGUUGAAUAAAAUUAUAUUUUAAUGUACUUUACCGCCAUGCACACAUGAUAAAAAUACAUGCAUUAGUUACUUGCCGAGCUCGUGCACGUGUUUACAUGUUUUGCUCAUGCUUCAGGUGAUAGAAAUCUGAAUGUAAUUAUACUUUCCUGUGGAUAUUGUCUCACAUUCCUUCCACCAAAAGGACCAACCACAAAGACAACCGGUAAAGUACGUAAAAAUAUAAUUUUAUUCAACAUUCUGGCUUAUAGAGCUCGUGAAAGCAAACUUGCCUGAUUCAAACGCUCGUUUCUGCCGACCUAGAAUUCAAUGUAAUUCAAUGUUGGGUUUCCAGGCAAUUAAAAGACAGGCUACCUGUGAUGUACAAAUAUCUUGUCUCUAAUAAAAGACAUUACACUUA